UUUGAUAUUCAGGUUUAUCCGCA
rnacentral:siRNA from 1 species